rnacentral:rRNA from 11 species
GUCUAGGGCCUAAAUACCCUAAAGACACCAGAUCUGAUAUAAUCCUGGAAGUUUAGCAAGCUCAGCCCUGGUGAAUACUUAGAUGGGAGGCCAUCUACGAAUACCAGGUGCUUUAGGUU